rnacentral:rRNA from 1 species
UACAGAGGGUGCGAGCGUUGUCCGGAAUCACUGGGCGUAAAGGGCGCGUAGGCGGUCUCUUAAGCGUGUGGUGAAAGCCCGGGGCUCAACUCCGGGUCGGCCGUGCGAACUGGGGGACUGGAGCUUGUCAGAGGCAGGCGGAAUUCCGGGUGUAGCGGUGGAAUGCGUAGAGAUCCGGAAGAACACCGGUGGCGAAGGCGGCCUGCUGGGACAAUGCUGAC